CCAUUAACAUAAUAAUGUAAUGGCUUAACUUAUUAUUUUUACUAUGUUUUACUGCACUCUUAGUGUGAUAAAGAUGUAAAAUAAUGAUUUUUAUUUUUUGCUUUAAAAGUUUAAUGGCUUAAUCUUGCUUUACUGUUUGACUUACACGUCUAUCAGUUGCGUAAGCAGGGCAUAUGAUCACAAGAUGCAUAAAGGAAAGGUCUUGUAUUAUUGAAAAAGCUACGCUAGGGAUAACAGGCUAAUUGCGCCAGAGAGUACAAAUUGAGUGCGCAGUUUGGCACCUCGAUGUCGGCUUAGCUCAUCCACAUGAAUGCAGGAAUCAUGAAGGGUUCGACUGUUCGUCGAUUAAAGAGCUACACGAGCUGGGUUAAAUACGUCGUGAGACAGUAUGGUUUCUAUCUUCUAGAGGAAAUUAGAGUCAAAUAAGAAUAGCCCCUUCGUACGAAAGGAGUUGGGUAUGUUAACCUCUGGUUUACCUGUUGUUUAUGAUUUCUAAUAUUACCCUCUACUUUACUGUAGUUAAGGAUGUUUACAUUUACUCAUGUAUAUAUAUAUCAUAGGCACGGCAGGAAAUCUAUGUUGGCUAAAGAUAAGUGCUGAAUGCAUAUAGGCACGAAACUUACCUUAAGAUACUCUUAAAUAUACGUAGCAUAACACUACGAGUGUUAUUGUGUGUUUAUUCAUACACUAACAUUGUAUAGGCUUUUGCUUUAAGAACUUUGAUGUUUUCAGGUAAAAAGUACUAAUUUUAUUAAAAACUAAAUAAC
rnacentral:ncRNA from 1 species